CUCAUCCCCUCCGUCGAGUCACCUAUCCUCACUCCUUUCUGUUAGCUGCCGGCCCUAGCGCUCCCUCUCCUCGGCUGAAUCUCACUUAGUGGAGGAAAGGCUGAAAGGACUACAACUCCCAGGGGACGCUGCGGGCCCCGCCCAUGGGGCGCGCAGUGUAGGUCGGGGCCUGAGGUCCCACGGUCUUCUCGCCGCGUGCGGCCGGGAGCAAACGCACUACAGGUUCCGUG
rnacentral:lncRNA from 1 species